rnacentral:rRNA from 1 species
UACGGAGGGUGCGAGCGUUGUUCGGAUUCAUUGGGCGUAAAGGGUGCGUAGGCGGCGCGGUAAGUCGGGUGUGAAAUCUUGGAGCUUAACUCCGAAACUGCAUUCGAUACUGCCGUGCUUGAGGACUGGAGAGGAGACUGGAAUUUACGGUGUAGCGGUGAAAUGCGUAGAUAUCGUAAGGAAGACCAGUGGCGAAGGCGGGUCUCUGGACAGUUCCUGACGCUGAGGCACGAAGGCCAGGGGAGCAAACGGG